CAUUUAGGUUUAGUCAUUUAUCAAAGUAUGGCGACCUUGUGUUUCCCCAUCGCUAUUCUACUAACUCUUCUCCAUCAAGCAGAGCCCAGUGCUGAGAACUCUGUGUUUGUGCUGAAGGGACAGGAUGUUCGCCUGAAUGUCCAGACAAAUGUUCAACUCCAAGAUGUUGAUGUGCUAUUUUGGAAGUUUAACAGAUCAGACAAUGUUGUAAAGUACCCCCAAAAAGUUACCUUUGAAAGGUACCGAGGUAGGGCUGAAUUGAUUGUGGGAAACUUCUCUCUGCUACUGAAGAACCUCCAGGAAGAAGACAGUGGACUUUAUGAUGCAGUAGUGUCUGGUAACAAUGACAGAAACGUUGCUAAAUUCUUGAUAAAAGUCCAAGAGAGAGUUGAGCCUCCAGUCCUGACAGUGAACUCUGUCUCCUCCAUCAAUGGCAACUGUAACGUGACUGUGGCCUGCAGAGGUCAGAACAUCUCUGUCAACUCCAGCUGUAACAGCAGCACCUGCUCUCAGGUGGGAGGAGAGAGUAGAGGGGCUGAGACCUCCACUGUCCCCCUGCUCUCUGUCUAUGUGGCAGGGAGUUUCAUCAUCUGUAACCACAGCAACCAAGUCAGCUGGGCCAAAGACACCAAGGAGAUCAAAACAAUUUGUCUGGAAAAAGAGUGUGACAGCGAGGACCAUAACUACGCUGUCACAGUCGGGAUGCCAGGUCCCAUCAUCCACGUCAUCAUCAUCUUUGUUGGAUGCGCCUUGAUUGGUUGGUGAAAGCUAAAUAAAGUUGAUUUAAAGGUGACAAAGGGGAAAUUCUAAUCAGAGAGUAUGCUAUAUUCAGGACUCCAGGUAACAGUCAUUUAGGUGGUGAAGAGCAGGAAUCUACAGGUCCAGCAUCACCCUCCAUCUACAGUAUGGUGGGACUACCCCAACCCCAGCCUAUGAACCAUUCCACCAUGAUGGGAGACCAGUCUCCACCUGAGGACUUCCCCAUGACCUCCAUGACCAUGCCUGAGAGUUUAAAUGCUACUGUAUGGUGGGGAAAAAGAGAAGCAAACAAUAAUCAGGAAUUUUAACAUCAUCUUCGACCAGGAUUCUAUCACACAGCUUUUUGUCAGCUAUACACCUUUGAAGGCAAUGUUCCCGCGUUCACUGAGAAAACAUUCAAUUCAGUUGAGUCGGGAAAUUAUGUUUAAAUGUACAUAGCUGACAAACCAUGAUCAAAUAGAAUCUUGGCCUAAGACCGCGGAAUAUCUGUGCUGUAGUGUGAUUGAAAUUUAAAGGCAAUGUACCUGCUUGUGUGGGGACUGCAUCGGUAAACUCUGCAUAUGUCGGCUCAAUCGGAAAUGACCUUUACAUUUCUAUCGUGCUACAAUUCGGAUAUUCUUCCAAACAACGAUCAACUACAGAUGAAGGAUCUUAAUUUGACCACACUGUUGUUGCAGGAAAUGCAAACUUGUAGUGUAUUUGAGGUUUAAAAAUGCUUCUAAAGUUUGGAAUUUACACUUUAAAAUAUCAAACUUGAUUUGCCAAUACAAAAAAUCUAAAACCUCCACAAACAUUUUCAUUCAUUAUAUCCCCAUAAUCCUGAUGCUUCAGGAUAUUUUCCUGCUGAGAGAAACUGGUCAAAUUAAGAUCCUACAUCUGUAAGCACAGCUGUCUUUGAAAAUGUUAAAUAUAUUUUUUUUUUCCUUGUAACAUUUUUGAACCAUCAUGACAGUAGUAUGCUGUAAAAGUACAGAAAAAUAAGUGAACAUUCCAAAUUAUUCAUCAUAGUGGGAAUUAAAAAGAAACACAUCAUUCAUCUUAAUGGGUAUUGAACAGAAACACAUCAUUCAUCUUAAUGGGUAUUAAACAGAAACACAUAAUUUAUCAUAGUGGGUAUUAAUCAGAAAAAAAGAAUGUAUCAUGGUCGGUAUUAAACAGAAACAAAACUUUCAUCAUGGUGGGUACUAAACAGAAUGAACCAAAAACAUGUGAUACUGUACAGUCAGAUAUUCUUAUAUCAUGUUAUGCUGUGCAUUAUACUAUGUCAUGUAAUGGAAUAUUAUGGCAGGCUCUAAUAAUAUGCCUUGAAAUGCUAUGCUAUCUUACAUUAGGCUAAAGACAUGCUACGGUACUUUGGCGACUGGUAAGUGUUUUUUUCCUUUGGGCUGUAUGUUUCAAUGUGUAGUUCAUACAUGCAUAAUCUAUACGCAGAAUUAACGUUUUACCUCAAUAAGCAGCUGUUGUCUGGAAGCUGUGCGACACCAUUUUCCCUACAUUUACCUCAACGUGCGCCAGCCCGGUAGAAAUUCGAGUUUCAGCCGAUGAGCUUCAGCCCCUUGCCAUUUGAGUGACAGCUAGCAAGACACACACACACACACACACAGCAGAGCGAGAGAGCAAUGAAGUGUUACACAUAUCUGCACAUUUGUGGCACAGCACGCAAUUUUCAGGUCCCACUUUUGGCUUGUGAGCGUUACUUUCAGAACUACUAAAAAAUAUAACAAAUAAAAAAAAUAAUAUCUAAGGUAUGUUAUUUAUAUAGCAACAAAUGAAAAGAAAAAGUAAAUAUUUUUGAAAACUUUUUAAAUGACCCAAUCUGGUUUACAUGUUCAGGCAAAAAUCCUCCUGUUUCUGUGUACUGUACAUUGUUACAUAAAAAGGACCAUCAUCUGCUGCUGUAUGGGGCGGCAGGGUAGCCUAGUGGUUAGAGCGUUGGAUUAGCAGUCGAAAGGUUGCAAGUUCAAAUCCCUGAGCUGACAAGGUACAAAUCUGUCGUUCUACCCCUGAACAGGCAGUUAACCCACUGUUCCUAGGCCGUCAUUGAAAAUAAAAAUUUGUUCUUAACUGACUUGCCUAGUUAAAUAAAGAUAUUAAAUAGUAAAAAUACAAUAAACAUAAUUCUGUCACUCAUGGGCUUAAAUCAGUGUUGUUUGUAGAAUGUAUCCCUGAUGUAGAGGGUGAUGACAGCAGAGAUCAUGAUGACCAGCCUCACAGAAACCAGGAGGAUCUUCAACAUGUACACAGACACGCCAGCAGGGGGAGUCACUGGGCUACAACAGUUAGACAUUAUGUUACAGUUCCUCUAGACCAGCACGUCAGACAAAAGGGUUGGGACACUUCCAUUUCAAUUCCAGUCAAUACAGAAAGUAAACCAAAUUCCAAUUCCUAAUUUUCCUAAUUGAAAAGCAUUGAAAUGAACUGGAAUGGAAAUGGAAUUGACCAUAACCCUGAUAGACACUUCAACAAUUAGCCUGGGGACUACCCUGAGUUUACAGUUCCUGUAAUGUGUAUAGUUCCUACAAUAAUGUGUGCUCUUACUUUCAAUAUGAAUCAUUAUUAAAGAUGAAAGGAGAAUAUACAGUGGGGCAAAAAAGUACUUAUUUUCCACCAUAAUUUGCAAAUAAAUUCAUAAAAAAUCCUUCAAUGUGAUUUUCUGGAUUUUUUUUCUCCAAAUUUUGUCUGUCAUAGUUGAAGUGUGCCUGUGAUGAAAAUUACAGGCCUCUCUCAUCUUUUUAAGUGGGAGAACUUGCACAAUUGGUGGCUGACUAAAUACUUUUUUGCCCGACUGUAUACAGUGCCUUCAGAAAGUAUUUCACUCCCCUUGACAUUUUCCAAAUAUUUUUAUGUUAUAGCCUGAAUUUAAAAUGGAUUACAUUUUAGGUUUUGUGUCACUGGCCUACACACAAUACCUCAUAAUGUUUUUAGAAAUUAAUGAACAAUGAAAAGCUGAAGUGUCUUGUCACUCAACCCGUUUGUUAUGGCAAGCAUAAAUAAGUUCAGGAGCAAAAAUGUGCUUAACAAAUCACAUAAGUUGCAUGGACUCUCUGUGUGCAAUAGUGUUUAACAUGAAUAUGUUCCCGGUAUUUCACAUAUGUUCCAUUCCGAGAACAAAUAACUUUUCCGGAAGUGUCUAAAGCAUUCUAAAGCAUUCUAAAGCAUUCUAAAUAUGUAAAUAUGUCUGGAUUUGAUUAACGCUUUGAUCGGCAUGAAGCCUGAUGAGCCUUUAAGAGCCCAAGCCUAUAAUAUACUGUAUAGGCUACCGCACAUUACGUACAACAGAAAAGCCCAUAGAUAUAGCUAUGCUCUCUUGGGUAAAUAAAUGGAACAUCUUCAGUAAUCUUUGAGUGUAGAUUGUAUUACUGUAUUGUAUUAUAUGGACUGUAAUUACAUUCAAACCAUGAAGCAGGGAGAGAACAUGUGAUUCUGGUGCAGCAUAUGCCGCCUGCAAAGUUACAAUUAUGAGCUAAGCAAAUUUGAUUUUAAUUUAUAAAUGUAUUAUUAUACAUUUUUAUAAUUAGCAGGCUGACAUGUAAAUACCUUUAAUAAUAUUUCCCCCAACGUUGUGCGACGUUAGUGUGUCUCCUUUUUUCUCUAUUGUUGCUUCAAUCCUUCUUUGCUUUCAACAGUAAAAUGAAAUACGUUUCGUUGUCCUUAUCUUCAUUAGUGUAAUGAAUAAUGAAUAAUAAUAUGGGACUAGUAUAAGAUGCUGACAACUAUCACUUCUCUUCACAAAUAUUGAAUGGUUAUGGGUCUGAAUAAAUUACUGCAAUAGCCUACCGCCA